rnacentral:rRNA from 1 species
GAUGAACGCUGGCGGCGUGCCUAAUACAUGCAAGUCGAGCGAACAGACGAGGAGCUUGCUCCUCUGACGUUAGCGGCGGACGGGUGAGUAACACGUGGAUAACCUACCUAUAAGACUGGGAUAACUUCGGGAAACCGGAGCUAAUACCGGAUAAUAUAUUGAACCGCAUGGUUCAAUAGUGAAAGACGGUUUUGCUGUCUCUUAUAGAUGGAUCCGCGCCGCAUUAGCUAGUUGGUAAGGUAACGGCUUACCACGGCAACGAUGCGUAGCCGACCUGAGAGGGUGAUCGGCCACACUGGAACUGAGACACGGUCCAGACUCCUACGGGAGGCAGCAGUAGGGAAUCUUCCGCAAUGGGCGAAAGCCUUACGGAGCAACGCCGCGUGAGUGAUGAAGGUCUUCGGAUCGUAAAACUCUGUUAUUAGGGAAGAACAAAUGUGUAAGUAACUAUGCACGUCUUGACGGUACCUAAUCAGAAAGCCACGGCUAACUACGUG